GUCUGUUCAGCCUGAGAAAAAAAAGACUGAAGGGAGAUCUGAUUAAUUUUUAUAAAUAUCUAAAGGGAGGUGGGAGGCAAAUGGAUGCUUUGUCACACAGGAAGGUUAUCAGAAUAAAUACAGAUGGAAAUCAUAUUCACUCAAAUUAUGCUCUGUUAGUGUUGCUUCUUUUCUAAAAAUUAUAAUGCCUUCAGGCCCUGCAAGACAGAAAAUGAGAAACAGAAGUGUAGAGUUUACAGUAAAAUACAAAAAUAUGACUAGCAACUAGACAUGAGUCUUUAGAAAAGUCUGAACAAUUUAUAUAGAUAUUUUAAGAGAUAAAAACAAGCACCUUGUAAAUCUGGAUUUUCUAGAGAGGUGGUUCUCACAUUUUUAUACAAUAUCUCAUUGGAAAACUAAAAGUUCUUGUAAAGAGUUCACCUGUAAGUUUGUGUUUAGAGAAGAUCACUCCAAAACAUAAAGCAUUCGUAUAUAUAAGCAUAUAAGCAUAGAUAUAUACAACACUUGCACUAGAUGUGUCAAGCAGCAGAGCUUGCAUCUACAUAUUCAGUAAAAGAACUUCCGUAACUAAUUCUCACCAAUUUUCACAGCAAUAGCUUGUUAGCACUGCCAUUUGACCAUCUGUCUAUUAGCCUCAGUAUCAUGUUAAAAUAAACAAAAUGUCUGACAGCAAAGAAAGAAGGCAACUUGUUGCAGAAUCCUUGUGCAGUAAACUGGUGCUUGUAUUAAUCAGACUGAAUGACGUCAUACUUGGGAGCUGCAGGAAAGAAAAAUAGGAUCAAUAUGCCAUAGUCUCUUCCCCCUGCAGUGAGCAUUUGCAUGGAUAAUACCUAUGAAUUCUAAUGUGAGCUACACAUUGUGUGAAACAAUGUCGCUAUUUAAAAAAAUGCAUCUGAGAGCCUGUUCAGGAGACUGAUUUCUGUUUAGUAAAUGGAGAAAAAUAUUGUGCAAAAAGAAAGUUCUUUAGUCUUAGAAAUGUUUUAUAAUAAAAUGAAAUGAAAUUUUGUUUUCA
rnacentral:lncRNA from 1 species